UUUGCAGGCUGUGAGCUCAGUGUUGCUUCCUUCUGCAGCAAAGCCACCAGCCCCAUUUCCCACUCAUGCCAGUGGGAAAGAAAGGCUCGUGAAAUGAAUGCAUUCCCAGGCUCUCUUCCUCCCCUGCUGAGACAGAUCACAACAAUUUCUUCAGCUUUAACUGCAGGCAAGUGCAAGCCACUACCUUCUGCUGAAACCUUUGUGAAGGGAGAUGGGAACUCAGCCUUUGGAUGCCGUAACACUGUGAAGCAGUUCCUGAAGAAAGGCACCUUUCUGGAGGAUUCUGUUCAUGUGCUACAGCAGACGGUUUGAGCUGCGUCGAGAGAGAGAGGCUGAAAAAGAAAAUUUCCCCAGGCUGUGUCAUGCAGGUAUUGGCCCCAGGGAAGCUUUUAGAGCGCGACGAAAUGCAGCGCGGGCAGGGGAAGCUCCGGCCAGCUGGAGCUGAGGAUGACCGGCGGCUGUGGCAGUUUGCAAAAUCGCAAGGGCUGCCAAAAUUAAACUGUGAAGUCAGGCGGGAAGGCAACCAAUGGCCGACGAGAUCAGAAGUUCAGAGAUGCCCCAGAUGAGCUCGCAACAACAAGUGCGGCCGACGUACACCGGAGUUUAUUAAGGAUGUUGAGAGGAGGGGAAAUAUUGGCGCAGAAGAUGCCCAGCUGGUGAGGAGGGACGGGUGGUGAUACUCAGUUCACUUGAUGAAUCCCAUUGGCCAAGCCCCUGGGAGAUCCCACCCAUCUGCAAGUGUAAAAUAAAUCUCUAAAGUU
rnacentral:lncRNA from 7 species